rnacentral:rRNA from 1 species
AAUCAACGCUGGCGGCGUGCCUAACACAUGCAAGUCGAACGAGAAGGUGGCUUCGGUCACUGGAUAGUGGCGUCCGGGUGAGUAACACGUAGGUAAUCUACCUUCGGGUGGGGAAUAACGUCUCGAAGAGACGCUAAUACCGCAUAAUGCAGCGGCACCUAAUGGUGAUUAGUUGUUAAAGCGGGGGAUCUUCGGACCUCGCGCCGUGAAGAGGAGCCUGCGGCAGAUUAGCUAGUUGGUGAGGUAAUGGCUCACCAAGGCUUCGA